AACGGCCGUACCAUGCUGAAUAUACCGGUUCUCGUUAGAUCACCGAAGUCAAGCAUCAUUGGGCGCGGUCAGUACUUGGGUGGGUGGCCACCUGGGAACACCGCGUGCCGUU
rnacentral:rRNA from 1 species